rnacentral:lncRNA from 1 species
AUAAAAAGUGGAUGGAUAUAAAUAACCCAAUCCGCACCCAAACUCUAACCCUAGCCGCUAGAACCCCUCGCUGGAGAAGAUAACCAAGCCGUUGGGGAGCCGACUACUGCCACCCGCCGCCGCACCAGAACCCUUUUCGACCGCUAAAAAAGGUAAAAAUUUCUUCUUUUACACAAAAUUCAAUUUAAACCCACCCAUAACCAAAUCGGAAUAAAAGAACCGGCCAAUUAGACAAAAAACACCACCAAAGUCUGGCGCCGCUGCCGUAGAGAAUUUCACAAACCGCCUCCGAUGAGGCCCUUCCCAAUUCCUGUUUCAUGUAAUUUUUUUACUGUUGUGAUCACCAUUUUCCUCUCUACAGGUUGACCGAAGCGAAACACCCAACCACAACGUGAGUUGGAGGAGCUACCGCAACGGAGAGCCCCGCCGCUAGUGAGUUUCGGUUUUUUAUAUUUUUUUGACCAACUGAGGCCCUUUAGCGUGUAUGCUCGCAAGAAUCGAUGUAAAAUCGAAUGAAUUCAGCUGAAAACGGCCGACCCAAGGCGGACCAUCGCUGCGGGCGGCGGCGUCGUCGCUAGAGCACGACAGAGCCACCGUGUCGGAUUUCUGAAAUUGGUUGAGUAGGCCCUGAGACUGAUUUUUUGGUUUAUUUGAGACAUUUGUAGGUACCAUAAGUGCGUUUCAGUUGCCGAAAAAAAAUUCAAUGAAUCCAGGGACCGCCCGUAGGCGCAGUAAGCUAUUUAGCUUUCGGAGUCAAAUCAAGUAAGCACCCCUCACCCUAUUUGCUAUCAUAGAAUUGAAGUUUAAAUAAAUAAAAAUACGGUAUUUUGUACAAAUUAAAUAGAUGUGCAUAAUUAAUUACGGAUUGCUAAUGGAGCUCGAACCGGACAUUGUUCUCUAUUGAUUUAUUUUACAGUCU